CCUACGGGAGGCAGCAGUGAUGAAUAUUGGUCAAUGGUCGGAAGACUGAACCAGCCAUGCCGCGUGCAGGAAGACGGUCCUAUGGAUUGUAAACUGCUUUUGUACGGGAAGAAACACUCCUUCGUGAAGGAGCUUGACGGUACCGUAAGAAUAAGGAUCGGSUAACUCCNUGCCAGCAGCCGCGGUAAU
rnacentral:rRNA from 1 species